rnacentral:lncRNA from 1 species
UUAUCGAUUGAGCUGCAGGUUUAAUCACCUAACAAGCCCUAGUAUCAGAGUUUUCUCAAAUCCGCUUGACGGCCUCUGACGUGGAAUUGUAACAACGACUGCUACUGAGUAGCAUUCGGGGACGCCGGCUACACGUGCCCUCCCAGGCACGGGGGUGUAACUCUGCCAACUUCCAGACUCCGGGCUGCUUUGUGAAAGCUUCUAUAGUUAUCGGCACGAAUCUUGAGCUCUGACCUUCACCUGCGCAGAAGUAAUUUAUUGGGUCCCUUUUGUGGUAUGAAGUGAGGCGCGGGGGCGGGCUAAAGCGGUGAUUGGCCCGCAGUGCAUCGCGUCAUAGCCGUCACUCGGGAUUGGUUCUUUGCUAAUAAAUCACUUCUGCGCAGAUGCAGGUCAGCGCUCAAGAUUCGUGCCGAUGAUUAUAAGAGCGUACGCUCGGUGGAAGGAAAGAUAGCGGAAAUGCCGUUAUGACAUCUCCGCUAGACAUUUUUUUCUCCAUAGGCUUACGUCAAAAUUUAAUCCCUAAUCAAUGGAUAGGUUAUAGAAUUCCGCCGUUAGUCGACUUUUGAUGCCAUCUCAUGUGGUCAUACUGUAAGUCAUCGGUUUAAAGUUGUUAUUAUAUAAUUUGCACUCGGUGUUACAAUAGUAAGGCUUGCUACUCGACUUGGAUUUAGUCGAUUUUUUAGAAUCAUUCGUAGUCGAGUAAUUACAUUUAGUCGACUAUUUGUCGCGUUUUCACUAGAUUCUAUUUUAUUUUUGAGUGAAAUCACAUCUAAGUAUAUAAAAAUCAGUUUCUUUGCCACAAAACUUUAAAUAACUAAUUUCUACCAUUUCGAAACUUACAUUACCAGUUUUGUUGGCUGGCAAUACUGAAGUUCACACACCAGUGUUGCCAGAUAAAACGAUGUUUUAGUGAAAACGCGGGAAAUAUCGACUUUUUAUUACAUUUUUAAGCGCAGAUCCGCUCAAUAAUGAUUAAGGUAACUUUUUAAAUGUCAAAUUUUAAUAGAUAGGUGAAUUUCAAUGAAAUGUAGGUAUCUUGCCACGUUGUAAGUGUAUUUGUAAAAUUUGUGAUUUUGGAGAAUUAACAAAUAUUCUAUUUACCUCAUCAUCUGCCUAGCCUUUCCCAGCUAUGUUGGGGUCGGCUUCCAGUCUAACCGGAUGAAGCUGAGUACCAGUGCUUUACAAGGAGCGACCUUAUCUGAGCUCAACCCAGUUACCCAGGCAACCCAAUAACCUUAUGUAAGACUGGUUGUCAUAGUUACUGGCUUCCGAAUACCCAUAACGACUGCCAAAGAUGUUCAAAAAUCAUCAAAUGACCUCCCGCUGUGGGUUAGCAGCGGUGAGGGAGUGUCAGACUCUUACUGACUAAAAACCGUCGUGUUCCAUCGUAGGCCUUUUAUGUACCAGGGCCGCGGUAACUCGCGCGAACAAUCCCGCAGCACAAAGGAAUAUCUGUACCUAACUCAAUUUUUGUGUUAAAAAAAAAUGUUAAAAUGUUGUGUUAAAGGAAAAUGAAUAUAUUUGUUGAUUCUCCAAAAUACAUGAUCGUUGAUAAGUGAACCAUUCGGCCAAGCCUAGCAAAGAGGAUGUACAACAAAAAAGUUUGAAACCCUCUAUCUAAUUGUGAUCCCAGAAUAAAAACGUUUAUCGAUAUUUGAAUAA